ACUACUUCUCUCUCUCUACAACUAAAGCACUCUACAACUAAAGAAACAAGGCUGAACAAUGGAUAUAAAUUUUUCGUUGAGGAAUUUGUACACAGUUAUCAAGGUAAGUUGACAACUAGUUGGCGCUAACAUUUGCAGUAGUAUGAAUGCUAACAAUUUUGUAUGUCAGUUGUAUCUCAAAUGUUGUUGAUCGCGAGGUGGUAGUUAGAGCUAGGUGUUACCGAUCAAAGAGGAAUUCCUUUAAUUUUAACGUGAAUUUAUGACCUUUUUCUUUCCUUUUGCGGUUGUAGAGUAUCACUGUGUCUUGCUUUUACUGCAGUUUGCAGCUUUCAUUUAACAACACUUUUUAUUUAGCUGACAGCACAAAAUUACAAUUCCCUAGCUAAACUGUUGUCUUUUCAAACAGAUGACAUUUGAGUCGGAAGAGGAUGUUUGUGUUUCUGCCUAUAUGUGUAGCUGGUAAAGGGUUGUAUAACCAUCUGACAGCUAUAAUGUAUCAGACGGCCCGCUAUGUGCAGCUUAGUUUACAGUCUGUCCCACCACCACUGGCCUGCACGAGUGAGCCACAGAGAUGGCAUCGUCCAAGGACACAGGCAAGUAUAUUGUCUUUUUUUUCUUUUCUGCAUCUGGAAAGAACACUAAUAACAGUAAGUAAACAAACAUUGUAUAUGCUAUCAUGAAAGCUUUAUGGACUAAUAAUGAACAAGAGUGUAUGUCAAAAAUAGAGUUGGUCCCCUCACAGUUUGGUCCUGUACCUCAUGGCAGUCCACUAUCCUACCAGUGCCCCCCGCCCCCAUUGAACAUUUAAUUCAAUGUUAAUUGAAUUAAAAUAACAGCAAUGAGAAAUACUGUUGGUUAAUUGUAAAUAAACAGCAUAAAAAGCAGUGUGAAAGUAACUGUUGCGUGGUGUACAUGCAUUUUGGACUUCCUGUAGUUUUUAUCCCGAUUGUAUUACACAACUUCAAACAGGUUACUCGCACCGGUGCGACUAAAUAUUUAUUCACAGUCGCACAAAGCACUUUUCAGUCACAAAUGCGAGUGAAAUGGUCACACUGUAGAGCCCUGAGUUUAUCUGCAAAGUUUUUUCACGUUCGGCACGCUGACGUUUAAUGUCCCCGACAACCUCUGUAGUGCCAUUUAGCAACAUGUUAAUGUCAUGAUUUCCCCACGCACAAAGCGCUGGAACAUGAAGCAAAGCUGGCAGAUCGAGAGUUAAAAUGCUAACGCCGUUUCUGGGUUUUUGCACUACAAAAUGAGGUCAUCCAUGCGCCACUCUCUGGUGACUGGCUGUAAGUUUAGGAAGCGCUUGAUUUGAUCUGCAGCGGAGUUUUCUAUGAGCGAAGGACGAACUUUAAACGUCAAUAUCGCAGUCGAUCAUGUUCAUUUAAUCGUGGGCAGUCAAAAUCGUAAUCGAGAUCAAUAUUCAAUUAAUGGUGCAGCCCUACUCAAAGAGACCCAUAAGUAUUAUUGGCAGGUACAAGACCAGCUUGCAGUGACUGGUCUACUGUGGUGUGACUUUUUGACUAAGACAAAAUCAGAUCUCACAAUACAGAUGAUUUGGCGAGAUGAUUCCUUUGUAGUGUUCAUGAAAGACAAGCUAGAUGUGUAUUACUGUAAUGUUUACAUGGUUGUGUAUUUGUCAAUGGUAUGAAUUAAGUUUCUGUUCAUAGUGUAGUACAUGAACAUUUUGUGUAUUGUUUUUAUUAUUGUAUUAAGUAUAUUGUAUUAAUUUCUAUUAACAUAUGUAAAUAUAGACAAACCAAGGUGAAUGUAUAAUUAGAUUUUGUAUGAGAUCUUUUGUAAUAUAGAUAGAUAUAUUGUAUUACCUAGAUUAUUCCUAUGUAUAUAUUUACAUUGAAUACAUUGUAGUUUAUCUUACAAAUGUAGUGCAGAUGUACAAUUUCAUGUUGUAAUUUUGUGAAAUAACAACUGGACAAUAUAAUUGAGGUUUGUCAUAUUUUUUUUCAUUAAUUAUUAUUAAAAAGACAUUUAAUUGCAACCUAUUUCAUUGUGCCUGUCAAAUGAUUUUCAGGAAACUUACUGUACAGCUAAAAGAACAAGUAACAAUAAAUAAAACAAAACAAAUGUAUUUUAAGAAACUAUCAAGUUAAAUACCACUAAAACACUACCAUUGUAAAACUCGAUCACAAUGUCACUCUAAUAAUAUAAACAAGUGAAAAAACAUUCACUGCUUAAACAUUGGUCCCUGGUAAUUAACCAUAAAACAGCAAUUAUGCCAGAUCUGAUUCAUGCUUCCUGACUAGGUGAGUGGCACUACAGAAUCCCAGCGGUGAAAUGCUGACUGCAGACGUGUGCUACCUCUCCGAAUCAUAAACAAUUGCUACACUGAGGCAUGCUACAACACCACUUACGCUGAGAAUUUGCUAUUAUCACUGGAAGUAAAUUAACGGUGAGUGCCGGAAACACAAAACCCGGAAGUGUGAAAAAGGCAAAUACUGGACAAACUACAUCCACCAUUUUGGCAUUGUCAUGUGACCUUUGACAUCCCCUUAAACAAAAAUCUUAAAGGGAACACCAGAUUAAGGCAACCGCACUAAUGGCAAAAUGCAUAACAGGAAAGUUAACUGAGUUAGUAAUUUAAUGUGGGCAGUGUUAUCAGGCUGAGGUAAAUUCGUUAGUGUUAUCUUGGCCGGCUUAGGCAUGAUUGAGAUCACAAAAAGGUUUCAAAUGCUGUGACAAUUGUUUUGUUUUUUAAAACUUCAACACGUUAACAAUUUAUUUGGGUAUUGUUAAACAAGUCCUAUUUAACCAAGGUUUAAUACUUAAAAAGAACUGACGUGCUGUUUUCUGCGUUUUUUUCUGAGCUCGUCCACACCAGCCCUGUUGCAUUAUGGGAUUUUUGUGUCCAUUGGUUGCAUACUGCAAAAUCUCGCCGGAAGCAGUAUCCGGGUAUUUCUCGCCUACUGUGAAUUCAGACAUAUGACCCCUCUGGCUUACUGCUUUUCACCUACUGUGUAGUAGGGUAGUACAUGAUUUCAGACACAGUCAUAUGCCGCGAUCACACUAGGCUUGAAGCAUGCAUAUUUUUGUCAGAUGCAGCUGUGAAUAUGGGUGGGAACAGGAUAUGAGAUCAUCAUCAUACUUCAGGGAACUGAAGUUUUCAUAUGUAAUCAUGUUUUACAGCAGUAAAAUGUCAGACAAUAUUUGAAGCAAUUAAAAAAAUAUGUUUCCAUCUGUUAAAUAUACCAUCUGUUCCUGUUUUCAAUGACACUGCAAAACAGGCAGAGUCUCUUUUGAAGUUGUUUUUACAAUGUUUCAAAGCUGUGUUGUAAAGUACUGGAUAGCUUGAUGCCGCUAAAAUUAGCACUUCCUUGUAGUGAAAUUGCAGUAAAAGUUUACUUGUUGGGACAGAAAACCAUCAGAUUUAGUUUAUUCUAAACAGCUGAACUAAAGUGGGCAAUGGAGCUCUCUUAUGACCAAAUCACACAAUUGCAUUUAAAAAAAACAAAAAAGACUAAACUGUACUAAGAGGAAAUAUGAUCAAUAUGUCCAGAUAUUGUGCCUUUUGAGAACGGUCACAUAUUUAGCCUAGAAAAUCAGUUAUGUGAGUGGGCACAGGUUUUUUUCCAGAAGUCUACAAUUUUCAAAAUGAAAACUCUCAUAAAUAUUACAUUAUUUAUUUAAGGAAAUAACAGCAGGUGUUUGUGCUAAUAAAGACAUAAAAAAAACACAACAAACAGUUCUGUCAUGAAAUAUGCCUUUUACUUCUGAAAUACAACAUUCUACAGCUAAUAGUCUUUAAAAACAUUAGUUUUGAGCUUUAGGGCUUUCCAUAGUACCUCAGUGGUAUGAGCACAGCAUGUUGGGGUUUUUUUUCCCCUCCGUUCGACACAACACCUGUUCUGGAGGGCAGCUGCAGUGUCCUGCAGAGUUUAGCUCCAUCCCUAAUCAAACACACCUGAAAAAUCUAACCAAAGUCUUCAGGAUUACUUAAUUACAGCCAGGUAAGAUUAGCAUUUUUGUGAGUAAACUAAUAACCCAGCCCCUAAAUGAACAAAUCAUUUCAAAUAGCUUUCAUUGAUGAUGACUAAAUCACAUCGUUUGUGGCAGAACGACAAAAUAAGAGACAAGCAAGCAUUCUUUUAACAGUUUUAACAAGCUAACAUUAUCGAACAAAUCAGUUCCAAGUAAAUUAGAUCUGGAAAACGGGAUGUCCUCAUUCAACUAAAUACAAAUUCACAUUCUACUCUUUAACACAGCAAUAAGUGUUCAUGUCUUCGAUUUGAACCCGAGCGUAACAUAAGCAAUCAGGCUAAUAUAGAAGACAUUACUCAAAAUGUACAUCAAAAUGAAAACGAUCAGAGAGGUGAGGAGGCGAGAGAGUGUGGCAAAAUCCAUGGUGACUGUGUGGCAACUGCACGUCUAUGUCAACCGAGAGUGUUUGUUGUUCAAGGUAAGCAUUUGGAUUAAUCUAUCGUUUUAUGAUGAAAUGCAUUCUAAUAUCUAUACUUUUUUUUUUUUUUUUUUUUUUUUUUUUUUUUUUUUUUUAAAGAUUAUCAGCCAUCUUGUUGUCAUAUACUUUAUCCUGUUAAAAUUCUGACGGCCAGUGCACUAUCACCAUGUUAUGAUCAAGUCUAUGCUAUCUACACAGCUUCUGUGUAUAUGAAGGUACUCAUAUCGGAAAGCUAAGAUUCUUGUGCUUCGAUUGAUAAAAACUGUUUUGACAGUAAUC